rnacentral:misc_RNA from 1 species
GAUGAAGAACGCAGCGAAAUGCGAUAAGUAAUGUGAAUUGCAGAAUUCAGUGAAUCAUCGAAUCUUUGAACGCAUCUUGCGCUCCUUGGUAUUCCGAGGAGCAUGCCUGUUUGAGUGUCAUUAAAUUCUCAACUACACUGACUUUGAAUUGGUGUGGCUUGGAUUUGGGUGGGAAAAUUGUUGUGGGCUUUUUGUAUAGUCUGCUCCCCUGAAAUUGAUUAGCGGUACCUUUGUGGAACUGUCUACAGGUGUGAUAAUUAUCUACAUCCUAGACAUCUGCUGGAAUGCUGCUUUCUAAACCUUACUUGUAUUGACAAUCUUGACCUCAAAUCAGGUAGGACUACCCGCUGAACUUAAGCAUAUCAUAAGCGGAGGA